rnacentral:rRNA from 1 species
UACGUAGGGUGCGAGCGUUAAUCGGAAUUACUGGGCGUAAAGCGUGCGCAGGCGGUUCGUUAAGUCAGAUGUGAAAUCCCCGGGCUCAACCUGGGAACUGCAUUUGUGACUGCAUGGCUGGAGUGCGGCAGAGGGGGAUGGAAUUCCGCGUGUAGCAGUGAAAUGCGUAGAUAUGCGGAGGAACACCGAUGGCGAAGGCAAUCCCCUGGGCCUGCACUGACGCUCAUGCACGAAAGCGUGGGGAGCAAACAGG